rnacentral:rRNA from 1 species
UACAGAGGGUGCAAGCGUUGUUCGGAAUUAUUGGGCGUAAAGGGAGUGUAGGCGGUUGCCUAAGUCUUCUGUGAAAGCUGCGGGCUUAGCCUGCAAAGUGCAGAGGAAACUGGGCGACUUGAGUAUUGGAGAGGGCAGGGGAAUACCCAGUGUAGAGGUGAAAUUCGUAGAGAUUGGGUGGAACACCAGUGGCGGAAAGCGGCUCUCUGGAACGGUACUGACGCUGAGACGCGAAAGCGUGGGGAGCGAACAGG